rnacentral:rRNA from 1 species
UCGACCGACAGGUGAACCGAUAUCAGUUUAACCAGCCUCUGCGCCCGCUUUGCCUCUCGGUGACGUCAGGUGGCGGAUCUCUCUUAACAGGGAAACUCCUGGCUCCCAGUACGCCAAGGAACUGUAGUCAAUCGGGACGGACUGAGAGGAAGACCCCGACGGUGAGCACCCGCUUCGCAACUGAACCGGACAUCACACUGCAUACGUAUGACUCUCAGCAACGGAUAUCUCGGCUCUCAUAUCGAUGAAGAAUGUAGCAAAAUAUGAUACUUGGUGUGAAUCACAGAAUCCCGUGAGCCACCAAGUCUUUAUACGCAUGUUACGCCGGAGGACAUCGAGUCAAGGGCACACCACCCAUCGCUCCCCCCAUUCGAUCCAGACGCGGAGAUAGGCCGCCCGUGCCAAAGACGAUCUUCGUACGGGGUCGGGCCAAAUAGGGGAACGCUAUGAGGUUGGAUGCGACGAGUGGUGACCGGAGCAUAGCUGGGAACGUCGUGCCAUCCCAUGUCGUGCUGCUUGGAAAGUGAGUCAUGGAUUGCAAGCCGCCGAUACGAUGUGAGCGGAUCGGUGUGCCGGCUCUCGAACGUUGUGCC